AUGGAGCUACAGAGCGACCGGUGUGACCGAUCUUCCAUGGAGUCGGCGCAAGAUCUGGUCAGGAAAUUCAGGACUCUUCUGCAGCUCAUGGCCGCACGGUCUGGCGACUAUGAGACUCCAGAGGACGCGGCGGUGACCGCCGCCAUGAUGGCUGGAUGGCAUCGCGACGUCGUCAUCGACCUUGCCGCCGCGAGCGAGGGGGACACCCAGCUCCAUCGGGCGGCCGCUGGCGGGGACGGCGUCUGCUACCGCAGGUGCGUGGACUUGGCCUGCAACGGCGACAGUAGCCGGUUGCUCGCGUCCAACGGGGACGGCGAUACGCCGCUGCACUGCGCUGCCAGGGCCGGGCACACUGGCAUGGUUAAACACCUCAUUGGCCUCGCACAAGGGGACGGCCAGGACGAUGGUGAGAUGGCCAAGACCAUGGCGAGGGUGCGGAACAACCGUGGGGAGACGGCGUUGCACGAGGCCAUCCGCUCUGGCUGUGAAAAGGACGUGAAAAAGAUGGUCGAAGUUUUGCUGGCGGUGGAUAAUCAACUAGCAUGUGUAGAAGCAUUUGAUGGUACUUCGCCUCUGUUCUUAGCCAUCUCGCUGGGCCAACAUUGGCUUGCUAGUUGGUUGUACGAAUGGGGUCAUAAGAAAUUGUCUUACUCUGGCCCUGAGGGGCAAAAUGCCUUGCACGCUGCUGCUCUCGACGGGUUUCGGCACAGCACAGGGAUAGCAAAACGGCUGCUUCACUGGAAUAAUAGCCUUGCCAGACAAGCGGACAACUCUGGAAGUACACCGUUACACUUUGCUGCGUCAGCACAAGAUCCCACAUUGGAGUUAUUUCUGUUUGUUUUUGGUGACCAGGGCUUCGAAUCACACUCUCCAUUGUCGCUCACCACUUUACCUAAGAAAUGGGUAUACAAGUUCUAUAAGUGGAGGGAGCAUCCAACCUUUCUACUAGUGGAUGCUAAUCCACAUUCCGCAUUUCAGCCAGAUAGGAAUAGUUUGUAUCCAGUGCAUGUGGCUGCCUCGGCGGGAAGCUUGGUGCCAAUCAUCAUAUUGCUCUGCCAUUCUCCUGGCUGCGCCGGGCUACGAGACAACCAAGGAAGGACCUUCCUUCAUAUUGCCGUGGAGAAGAAGAAGCAUAACAUUGUGUGGUUUGUGGCUUGCCGGUUAGAUAAUAAGGCCAUCAUGAACAUACAGGACUACAACGGGAACACUGCCAUGCACCUAGCUGUUGGUGGCGGGAGCUGGGAUAUCUUCAAGAUCCUCAUUGGGAACAAGCACGUCUGCUUGAAUUUGACAAAUAAGGAGGGUGAAACUCCCAUGGAUAUUGCACUCAGCAACGUUACUCCAACUGGAUUUUAUUUUGGAAUGCAUGCACGGCGUCGAAUACUUGUGACAUUGACCUUAGCAAAUGGUAAAAACAGCUUCUGCCGGCGGGACCGUUUCCUGGAUCAACAUGUUCCCAAGCUAGACAAAAAGGAAGAAUCUGAUAAAAUAACAUCGUUCGCACAGAUUGUUGGUGUUGGCUCCGUUCUUGUAGCGACUGCUACGUUCGCUGCAACAUUCACCAUGCCAGGCGGCCCCAACAGUACCGAUCCCAAGAUCCCACCCAACGGCAGAGGUGGCACGCCGACACUCGCGGGGCUCUACGCUUUCGACGCCUUCGUCAUCUCUAACACCUUGGCCUUCAUCUGCUCCACUUUGGCCACCUUCAGCCUCGUCUACACCGGGGUGGCCACGGUGGACAUAGAGAAGCGGAUCAAGCUGGUGGCCUUCUCCCUGGCGCUGCUCAUCAGUGCGGCCAGGAGCUUCUGCGCCGCCUUCGCGUUCGCCAUCUAUGUGAUGCUCCCUCCCACGGUGGCCCAUGGGACUGCCAUGGCAGCAUGCGUAAUGACGGUCCUUGCACUAAUGGACGCGUUUUGGUUCAUGUGGGCCAUCGUUACUGAUACAAUAGUUCUCGUUAGGAGGGAAGACUGGCGGUCAAUGCCCAAGCGACUGAUGAAGCUGGCGGCAAGAAUCCUAAUCAACACUGUGUAUGUGUUCUGGCCCUACAUCGUCAUCUUCGGUCUGUUGGCCAUCAAAAGCAUCACUGGCCAUCAAGAGACCUCAGUACCUGCACCAAUGCCCACCCAACGGCUAUAG
rnacentral:rRNA from 1 species